UGCCAACUGUAGAGCCUGCGGUGGCGGUCC
rnacentral:piRNA from 1 species